rnacentral:tRNA from 1 species
UCCGCAGUAGCUCAGUGGUAGAGCUAUCGGCUGUUAACCGAUCGGUCGUAGGUUCGAGUCCUGCCUGCGGAGCCA